rnacentral:rRNA from 1 species
CCGGCGACCGGCGCACGGGUGAGUAACACGUAUGCAACCUGCCCUCUUCAGGGGGACAACCUUCCGAAAGGGAGGCUAAUCCCGCGUAUAUCGGUUUCGGGCAUCCGAGAUCGAGGAAAGAUUCAUCGGAAGAGGAUGGGCAUGCGGCGCAUUAGCUAGACGGCGGGGUAACGGCCCACCGUGGCGACGAUGUCUAGGGGUUCUGAGAGGAAGGUCCCCCACACUGGUACUGAGACACGGACCAGACUCCUACGGAAGGCAGCAG